CCUACGGGGUGCACCAGUGGGGAAUAUUGCACAAUGGGCGCAAGCCUGAUGCAGCCAUGCCGCGUGUAUGAAGAAGGCCAUCGGGUUGUAAAGUACUUUCAGCGGGGAGGAAGGCGAUAAGGUUAAUAACCUUGUCGAUUGAGGUUACCCGCAGAAGAAGCACCGGCUAACUCCGUGCCAGCAGCCGCGCUAAUACGGAGGGUGCAAGCGUUAAUCGGAAUUACUGGGCGUAAGGCGCACGCAGGCGGUCUGUCAAGUCGGAUGUGAAAUCCCCGGGCUCAACCUGGGAACUGCAUUCGAAACUGGCAGGCUGGAGUCUUGUAGAGGGGGGUAGAAUUCCAGGUGUAGCGGUGAAAUGCGUAGAGAUCUGGAGGAAUACCGGUGGCGAAGGCGGCCCCCUGGACAAAGACUGACGCUCAGGUGCGAAAGCGUGGGGAGCAAACAGGAUUAGAUACCCGGGUAGUC
rnacentral:rRNA from 1 species